UGGGGGAUAUUGCACAAUGGGCGAAAGCCUGAUGCAGCGACGCCGCGUGGGGGAUGAAGGCUUUCGGGUUGUAAACCUCUUUCGCUAUCGAACAAGGCCCGCUUAGGGUGGGUUGAGGGUAGGUGGAGAAGAAGCGCCGGCUAACUACGUGCCAGCAGCCGCGGUAAUACGUAGGGCGCGAGCGUUGUCCGGAAUUAUUGGGCGUAAAGGGCUUGUAGGCGGCUUGUUGCGCCUGCUGUGAAAACGCGGGGCUUAACUUCGCGCGUGCAGUGGGUUCGGGAAGGCUUGAGUGUGGUAGGGGUGACUGGAAUUCCAGGUGUAGCGGUGGAAUGCGCAGAUAUCUGGAGGAACACCGAUGGCGAAGGCAGGUCACUGGGCCAUUACUGACGCUGAGGAGCGAAAGCAUGGGUAGCGAACAGG
rnacentral:rRNA from 1 species